rnacentral:misc_RNA from 1 species
GAUGAAGAACGUAGCAAAGUGCGAUAAGUAAUGUGAAUUGCAGAAUUCCGUGAAUCAUCGAAUCUUUGAACGCAAAUUGCACUCUCUGGCAACCCGGAGAGUAUGCCUGUUUGAGGGUCAGUGUUAAUAAAAAAUCGGGUGCGUUGCAAUUUUUGUGACGUUUCCGGAGUUUGAGUUAUCUUAACUUCGGUUUUAAGAGGCUUAAAAUUGACCUUUUUUUGUGCAUUUUAGACGUACAUAAAUUUUUUUUUUAUUCGUCCAUCCUAAUGCCAAAAUCUAUUAGAUGCGACCAUAUCUUGUGGUUCCGUGUCUAUAAAUUUUUCAUGAUUUGACCUCAAAUCAGGUAGGAACACCCGCUGAACUUAAGCAUAUCAAUAAGCGGAGGA